CUGUACAAAGGUAGCAUAAUCAAUAGUCUCUUAAUUGGUGACUUGUAUGAAAGAUUGGAUGAAAUAUAGACUGUCUCUAAUUAAUUUAUAAAAAUUAAUUUUUUAGUAAAAAAGCUAAAAUAAUUUUAAAAGACGAGAAGACCCUAUAGAGUUUAAUAAUUUAUUUAAUUAUUAUUAAUAUAUAAUUUUUAAAAUUAAAAUUAAAUAAAUUAUUUUGUUGGGGUGAUAGAAAAAUUAAAUUAACUUUUUUUAUUUAUUUACAUUAAUUUAUGACUAAAUGAUCCAUUUAUAAUGAUUAAAAGAAAAAAUUACCUUAGGGAUAACAGCGUAAUUUUUUUUUUUAGUUCAAAUAGGAAAAAAAGUUUGCGACCUCGAUGUUGGAUUAA
rnacentral:rRNA from 1 species